AUUGAACGCUGGCGGCAUGCCUUACACAUGCAAGUCGAACGGCAGCACGGGUGCUUGCCCCUGGUGGCGAGUGGCGAACGGGUGAGUAAUACAUCGGAACAUGUCCUGUAGUGGGGGAUAGCCCGGCGAAAGCCGGAUUAAUACCGCAUACGAUCUACGGAUGAAAGCGGGGGACCUUCGGGCCUCGCGCUAUAGGGUUGGCCGAUGGCUGAUUAGCUAGUUGGUGGGGUAAAGGCCUACCAAGGCGACGAUCAGUAGCUGGUCUGAGAGGACGACCAGCCACACUGGGACUGAGACACGGCCCAGACUCCUACGGGAGGCAGCAGUGGGGAAUUUUGGACAAUGGGCGAAAGCCUGAUCCAGCAAUGCCGCGUGUGUGAAGAAGGCCUUCGGGUUGUAAAGCACUUUUGUCCGGAAAGAAGUCCUUGGCCCUAAUACGGUCGGGGGAUGACGGUACCGGAAGAAUAAGCACCGGCUAACUACGUG
rnacentral:rRNA from 1 species